CAUGUGUACCCCAAAUGUGGAUUUUUAAAAAGUCAAUUAGAUUUGGAGCAUUAGAUGGAACUCUUGGUUACAAGGGACAGAAGCAAUUUAAUCAGCAAGUAGUUAGCAGUAAGAUCUGAUAGGGCUGGAAAUAAACUCUCAAAAUCAAAUGCCAAAACUCACUUCUAAGGACAAAGCCCCAUACUAAUAAGAUGCUGGGAAAAUAAUCCAAGUUGAAUGCCACAAAGACAACCUGGUUCAUUCCAGAGGAAGCAUAAAAGGCAUGAACUCAGUCUUUUAAAACAUGCUUUUUAGAUAUUGAGUAAUAAACAUACAAUACAAGUAAAAAUUAAAAUGCUACUGAAAUUUGUAGAGACCACAGCUGCUUUUAUUAAAGGACAGAAAAAUAUAAGUUUAGGAGAUCAAUAAUAUUAUUAUGUAAUAGCUUUUUAACAGGAUAGACAAAUAUUUAAAGGAAAGGAAACUAAAGCAGUAUUUAAAUCAAAGGAAGUGGCCGAUUAGAAGAGACUUGGUAAGAGUCAACUUACUGUAUGUUUUUGUUUCCCAGCAUUACUCACACCAGGUUGUAGCAUGUUUUUGAGAGAGCAGCUGGGAUUGAGUAUACUCUUGAUUUAAAUAUGUUUGUUUAUAAAGACAAAUAGAGAAAUCAGUUUUUUCUAAUGGAUUCUUAGGCACAGUUAAGUGAAUGAAGAACCUGACAGUAUGCUAUCCCACACGUUUAAGGACAGAGGUUAGUGUAACACACUGCUUUCAUAUUUCAUGUUCUGUUUCGUAAAUUACUGACUUUAUAACUCCUGACCUUCUGUACUUAUUAAUGUCAAGUUUUAAGAGUAAAAUUAUGGUAUAUUAAGCAAUUUUUUUCUCAUACAUUUCUAACUUUAUUUUUUGUUUGUGGGGGACAUUUCCUUAUUAUAAUGAUAGCACAGGUGUCUGGAGAAAUAAGCAAGAUUAUAGAGGAGUUUUCUUAAUUGACUGAAGCCCUGAAUAAUUUGAAACCAUUUUGAACUACUUGCAUCAUGGACAGCUCAUUAUAAAUGAAGGCAUUAAUUUAUUGGAACAGGGACAUGCGAGCUUGCUGGGGAACGAGGCACAAGGAGCAGAGCCAAAACCACAAGUUUAUUCCAGCCAAGUCAGACAUCUCUUGGCCAACUGUCAGUCAGGGGAGACUCUGAAAACUGCCCAUUUGAGGUUAGUCCAACUCGUUGAAUCCAGAACUCAUGACGUAUGUAAUUAUUGUAUGACCUUAAAGCUGAGUAGGUUUUUUUUGGUACAUAGCAUUGUCGUGACAAUAUAAAACUGAUACUUUAAAUAUAUUCAUUACAUUUUAGUUGUGUGCUAGACAUAGUUUAUUUUUAAAAAUUAGAUGCUUCAUUUGACAAUAUCUACAAGAGAGAAUCAACACUUUGCUAAUCAAAGACUAGAGGCUCAUUAUCUUGUUAUUUAUGAACUUAACUGGAUCAAGGCUGGGUUAAAGUUUCAUUAAAACUUCAUCUAUCUCUGGUUAGUUCCUGUCCCGAAGAAUAUGGAUUUCAAGGGUUUAUUUGAAAUCACGAUGAUUUCGGCUCCUCAGUACCCAGAAAUCUGGACCCUUGGCUUUGCUUCUCAGAGAAAUCAGACAUCUCUAGUUCAACUACCAGUCAGGGGAGACACUGCAAACUGCCCAUUUGAGGUUCGGACACACAGAAGGUGCCUCUGUGAAAAACUAAGCCCUCACCACACACUGAAUCAGCCAGCACCUUGAUCUUGGAUUUCCAAGACUCCAGAACUAUCAACGAAAAAUGUCUACUGUUUGUAAAUUACCCAGUCUCAAAUAUUUUGUUAUAGAAACUCAAAUGGACUUAAACACAUGUAUUUAGCUGAUACAACAAUAACAGUGUGAAGGGAAAACAGUUUAAUAAGCAAUAAAUUGAAAGAAAAAAUAUUUGGUUAAUUCUUUUUUUUUUAAGUGAUGCAGAU